CCGCCGCCCCCGCCCCCCUACGCGAGGCAGCAGUGGGGAAUAUUGGACAAUGGGCGAAAGCCUGAUCCAGCCAUGCCGCGUGUGUGAAGAAGGUCUUCGGAAUGUAAAGCACAAUUAGUUGGGAGGAAGGGCAGUAAGUUAAUACCUUGCUGUUUUGACGUUACCGACAGAAUAAGCUCCGGCUGCUC
rnacentral:rRNA from 1 species